GGCUCAGGAUGAACGCUGGCGGCGUGCUUAACACAUGCAAGUCGAACGGACUCGUAUUGAAACCUAGUGAUAUAUGAGUUAGUGGCGGACGGGUGAGUAACGCGUGGGUAACCUGCCUUACACAGGGGGAUAACACUUAGAAAUAGGUGCUAAAACCGCAUAAGCGCACAGCUUUGCAUGAAGCAGUGUGAAAAACUCCGGUGGUGUAAGAUGGACCCGCGUCUGAUUAGCUUGUUGGCGGGGUAACGGCUCACCAAGGCGACGAUCAGUAGCCGGCCUGAGAGGGCGGACGGCCACAUUGGGACUGAGACACGGCCCAGACUCCUACGGGAGGCAGCAGUGGGGAAUAUUGCACAAUGGGGGAAACCCUGAUGCAGCGACGCCGCGUGAGUGAAGAAGUAAUUCGUUACGUAAAGCUCUAUCAGCAGGGAAGAAAUACUGACCUUACGGUCAGCAGACGGUACCUGAGUAAGAAGCCCCGGCUAACUACGUGCCAGCAGCCGCGGUAAUACGUAGGG
rnacentral:rRNA from 1 species